UAGGGCGGACGGGUGGACGGUAACGACGUGGGUAACCGUGCCUCACACAGGGGAGUAACAGUGGAACGACCGCUAAUACGCAUAAGCCACAGGGCGCAUGCUCUGGUUGGUAAAAGAUUUAUCGGUGUGAGAUGGACCCGCGUCUGAUUAGCCAGUUGGGCAGGUAACGGCCUACCAAAGCGACGAUCAGUAGCCGGCCUGAGAGGGUGAACGGCCACAUUGGGACUGAGACACGGGCCCAAACUCCUACGGGAGGCAGCAGUGGGGAAUAUUGCACAAUGGGGGAAACCCUGAUGCAGCGACGCCGCGUGAGUGAAGAAGUAUUUCGGUAUGUAAAGCUCUAUCAGCAGGGAAGAAAAUGACGGUACCUGACUAAGAAGCCCCGGCUAACUACGUG
rnacentral:rRNA from 1 species